rnacentral:rRNA from 1 species
CUUUUAUGGAGAGUUUGAUCCUGGCUCAGGACGAACGCUGGCGGCGUGCCUAAUACAUGCAAGUCGAGCGGAGUAGUUUGAAAGCUUGCUUUCAAACUGCUUAGCGGCGGACGGGUGAGUAACACGUAGGCAACCUGCCUGCAGGACCGGGAUAACAUUCGGAAACGAAUGCUAAUACCGGAUAAUCGAUUUCCUCGCAUGGGGAGAUCGGGAAAGACGGAGCAAUCUGUCACCUGUGGAUGG